rnacentral:rRNA from 1 species
AUGCACGCUUGCGGCGUGCCUAAUACAUGCAAGUCGCGCGAACGGACGAGAAGCCUGCUUCUCUGAUGUUAGCGGCGGACGGGUGAGUAACACGUGGAUAACCUACCUAUAAGACUGGGAUAACUUCGGGAAACCGGAGCUAAUACCGGAUAAUAUUUUUCACCGCAUGGUUCAAAAGUGAAAGACGGUCUUGCUGUCACUUAUCGAUGGAUCCGCGCUGCAUUAGCUAGUGGGUAAGGUAACGGCUUACCAAGGCAACGAUGCAUAGCCGACCUGAGAGGGUGAUCGGCCACACGGGAACUGAGACACGGUCCAGACUCCUACGGGAGGCAGCAGUAGGGAAUCGGCCGCAAUGGGCGAAAGCCUGACGGAGCAACGCCGCGUGAGUGAUGAAGGUCUUCGGAUCGUAAAACUCUGUUAUUAGGGAAGAACAUAUGUGUAAGUAACUGUGCACAUCUUGACGGUACCUAAUCAGAAAGCCACGGCUAACUACGUG